GUUCUUGUGUCAGAUCGCUUGGUUGUUGCGCGGCAAAGAGAUCAGUCCUCCAUUCCUUUGGUACUCUGCAAUCUCCCAGGUGCCCUGCGAUGGUUUGCGAUGGAUUGGGAGAAAUCUAUCCUCCAGCGCGCCUGAUUGAUUCGCUGCAGCGGAUAAAGAUCGAGGUAGGGAAAUGCCAGGACAUCUAGCCCUUAAUCGUUUCCUCUAUUCUUCCUUCGGAGAUUUGCGCUCUAGGAUCUAUAGAGCUAUCUCGAGAGUGGUGCAGCCAUUUCGCUGGACAGCUUGAGAACUUCGGUGAGAUCAACGGGAUGGGCUGGGUCGACCUGGAACUCAAACUUGUGAACCAACCGAGCCGUCCAGAGAAGAACAGUAGCGAGGCCGAGAGCUCGUCCGGGACACACUCGGCGACCAGCUCCGAAUGGAGCGAGACGCUCGGUCCAGAUGGAUGAAUCGUGAGUGAUGGACCACAUGUUUACCAUGGCCGUGGUGCCUGCAGGGACGUGGUGACCGGCCAAGGUUACGUCGUGAAUCGCAAGCCGAGCCCAAGAGAGCAAGGGACCCGGAGGAUGCAUCCGAAGAGUCUCCUUUACAACGGCUUGGAGGUACACCAUCUUGUGGAGGAUGGAGGACGAGCUCCGCGAGAAUCCACUCGGUGAGGAGAGCAACGGUGUCAGUGCCUCGGAAAAUCAUCUCCUGUGAAGACACGUAGACGUGAGUCACAAACGAAAAUGAGAAUU